rnacentral:lncRNA from 1 species
GAUCAUCCAAGCCCUCCCAAAAGCGCCUCUUAGCCUCCUCGUCUAAGCCCGCUUGCGGCGCAGACGUUGAGGACACAACCCUCAACAACAAACUUAAUAGACAUUAACCUAUCAUUCACUCGCCUAACCUCGACCAAAGACUCCCUUAGAUCCCUAUCCACCAAGAUGCCCACUCCAUUCUUACCUUUCACGACCCCAGA